AGUGAACGCUGGCGGUAGGCCUAACACAUGCAAGUCGAACGGCAGCACAGUAAGAGCUUGCUCUUACGGGUGGCGAGUGGCGGACGGGUGAGGAAUACAUCGGAAUCUACUUUUUCGUGGGGGAUAACGUAGGGAAACUUACGCUCAUACCGCAUACGACCUACGGGUGAAAGCAUGGGAUCUUCGGACCUUGCGCGAAUGAAUGAGCCGAUGUCGGAGUAGCUAGUUGGCGGGGUAAAGGCCCACCAAGUGGACGAUACGUAGCCGGUGUGAGAGGAUGGUCGGCGACACUGGAGCGGAGACACGGUCCAUACUCCUACGGGAGGCAGCAGUGGGGAAUAUUGGGCAAUGGGCGCAAGCCUGAUCCAGCCAUACCGCGUGGGUGAAGAAGGCCUUCGGGUUGUAAAGACCUUUUGUUGGGAGAGAAAAGCAGCAGGUUAAUACCCCGCUGUUCUGACGGUACCCAAUGAAGAAGCACCGGCUAACUUCGUG
rnacentral:rRNA from 1 species